rnacentral:rRNA from 1 species
UACGUAGGUGGCAAGCGUUGUCCGGAUUUACUGGGCGUAAAGGGCGUGCAGGCGGUCUGUUAAGUGCAGGGUGAAAGCUCCCGGCUCAACUGGGAGAGGUCCUUGCAUACUGGCGGACUUUGAGGGGGGUAGAGGAAAGUGGAAUUCCCGGUGUAGUGGUGAUAUGCGUAGAUAUCGGGAGGAACACCUGUGGCGAAGGCGGCUUUCUGGGCCCUACCUGACGCUGAGACGCGAAAGCGUGGGGGAGCGAACCGG